AACGAGACCUUAACCUGCUAAAUAGCCAGGCUAGCUUUGGCUGGUCGCCGGCUUCUUAGAGGGACUUUCGGCUCAAGCCGAUGGAAGUUUGAGGCAAUAACAGGUUAAAUUUCACAGGCCUGUAAAAGU
rnacentral:rRNA from 1 species